rnacentral:rRNA from 1 species
CCUAUCAUGCAAGUCGAGCGCGCCCUUCGGGGUGAGCGGCGGACGGGUGAGUCCCCUUUUGGGAAUAUGCCCUUCUCUAAGGAAUAGCCUCUGGAAACCGGAGAGUAAUACCUUAUACGCCCUUCGGGGGAAAGAUUUAUCGGAGAAGGAUUAGCCCGCGUUAGAUUAGGUAGUUGGUGGGGUAAUGGCCUACCAAGCCUACGAUCUAUAGCUGGUUUGAGAGGAUGAUCAGCCACACUGGGACUGAGACACGGCCCAGACUCCUACGGGAGGCAGCAGUAGGGAAUCUUAGACAAUGGGGGCAACCCUGAUCUAGCCAUGCCGCGUGUGUGAUGAAGGCCCUAGGGUCGUAAAGCACUUUCGCCAGAGAUGAUAAUGACAGUAUCUGGUAAAGAAACCCCGGCUAACUCCGUGCCAGCAGCCGCGGUAAUACGGAGGGGGUUAGCGUUGUUCGGAAUUACUGGGCGUAAAGCGCACGUAGGCGGAUUAGUAAGUUAGAGGUGAAAUCCCAGGGCUCAACCCUGGAACUGCCUUUAAUACUGCUAGUCUUGAGUUCGAGAGAGGUAAGUGGAAUUCCGAGUGUAGAGGUGAAAUUCGUAGAUAUUCGGAGGAACACCAGUGGCGAAGGCGGCUUACUGGCUCGAUACUGACGCUGAGGUGC